GACGAACCACACAAACGUUAUUCGGAAUUACUGGGCUUAAAGGGUGCGUAGGCGGCGCGGAAAGUUGGGUGUGAAAUCCCUCGGCUCAACCGAGGAACUGCGCUCAAUACUACCGUGCUCGAGGGAGACAGAGGUGAGCGGAACUUAGGGUGGAGCGGUGAAAUGCGUUGAUAUCCUAAGGAACACCCGUGGCGAAAGCGGCUCACUGGGUCUCUUCUGACGCUGAGGCGCGAAAGCUAGGGGAGCAAACAGG
rnacentral:rRNA from 1 species